AUGCUUGGAAUCUUUGUGAAAUUUAUGAUUUUACUUGUUUCUCUAAGAACCCUAAAAAACACCUUCCCUACCUAUGUGAGUUUAAUGAUAAUGAAAUCUUAUCUUCCUAUGAAAAGGGUGUUUAUAGUUACUAUGAUAUCGAACAAAUUGAAGAAUUUUUUGCUUUUAAGGGUGCUUAUUAUUACUCUCUACAAAUCUGAAAAUUUUGACAUACUUAAAUAUUGCUAUGAAAACUAUGCUCAUAAUGCCUAUGUCAAAGAAUUUAUUGAGAGAAUGAACGUUGCUUUGGAAGAAAAUAAUGAUAUGCAUGAAUCUAUAUAUAGUUAUGAUUAUGAUGAUUUGAUUGAAAUAUCCCUUGAUAAACAUGAUGCUUGCUACUCUUGUGGCCAUGAUGCCAAUAUUUAUGAAGAUCAAUUUGCUAUAGUUCCUUAUGUUAAACACGAGAUUAUUGCUAUUGCACCCGUCUUUGUAUAG
rnacentral:rRNA from 1 species